rnacentral:rRNA from 1 species
UUAAAAAAGGAACUCGGCAAUCACAGACCCCGACUGUUUAACAAAAACAUAACCUUUAGUCAAUAAACCAAUAUUAAAGGCAACGCCUGCCCAGUGAACAAUUUAACGGCCGCGGUACCCUAACCGUGCAAAGGUAGCACAACCACUUGUCUAUUAAUUGUAGACCUGUAUGAAAGGCAAAACGAGGGCCUAUCUGUCUCUUGUAGUAAAUCAAUUAAACUGAUCUCCCAGUCCAAAAGCUGGGAUGCCAACAUAAGACCAGAAGACCCUGUGAAGCUUAAACUAAACUAUUAAAUCCUAUAAUAGCUCCUUUCGGUUGGGGCGACCCUGGAAAAAAAAAGAACUUCCAAACAUACUGACCUUACAGUCACCUACCCUAGGCCAACAAGCCUAACAACGACCCAGCACAGCUGAUAAUGAACCAAAGAAUCACGGC